AGUGAACGCUGGCGGCAGGCCUAACACAUGCAAGUCGAACGGCAGCACAGUAAGCGCUUGCCCUUACGGGUGGCGACUGGCGGAUGAGUGACGCAUACAUCGGCUUCUUCUUUUACGUGGGGGACAUCGUAGGGCAGCUUCUACUACUACCGCAUAUUUUCUACGGCUGAAUUCAGAAGAGCUUCGCACCUUUCCCGUCUCAAUGAGCUGAUGCCGCAUUAGCUAGUUGGCUGGGUAAAGGCCCACCAAGGCAACGAUCCGUAGCUGGUCUGAGAGGAUGAUCGGCCACACUGGAACUGAGACACGGUCCAGACUCCUACGGGAGGCAGCAGUGGGGAAUCUUGGACAAUGGGCGAAAGCCUGAUCCAGCCAUACCGCGUGGGUGAAGAAGGCCUUCGGGUUGUAAAGCCCUUUUGUUGGGAAAGAAAAGCAGCAGGUUAAUACCCCGCUGUUCUGACGGUACCCAAAGAAUAAGCACCGGCUAACUUCGUG
rnacentral:rRNA from 1 species